rnacentral:rRNA from 1 species
UGAGGUAACGCCUCACCAAGGCACCGAUCAGUAUCCGACAGGAGAGGGUGAUCGACCACAUUGGAAACGAGACCCGGUCCAAACUCGUACGGGACGCAGCAGUGGGGAAUAUUACACAAUGGGCCGAAGCCCGAUGCAGCAACGCGGAGUGAUAGAUCAAGGCCUUCGGGUAGUAAAGUUCUGUCCUUGGGGAAGAUAAUGACGGUACCCUGGAAGGAACCCCCGGCAAAAUACGUCCCCGCAGCCGCGGUAAUAUGUAGGGGGCGAGUGUUCUCGGGAAUUAUUGGGUGAAAAGAGUAUGUAGGGGAAUGUGCAAGCGCGGGGUAUAACACAGUGUCUUAACCACAGUACCCCUUGCGAACUGUACUGCUUGAGUGCAGGAGGGGAAAGGGGAAUUCUUAGGGUAGGGGUGAAAUGGGUAGAUAUUAGGAGGAACACCGGUGGGGAAGGGGGCUUUUUGGAAUGCAACUGACAUUGAGGUAGGAAAGCGGGGGGAGCAAACAGGAUUAGAUACCCUGGUAUUCCACCCCGUAAACGAUGAGCAUUAGGUGUGGGGUUCGCAAGAGCUCGGUGCCGCACUUAAC